rnacentral:rRNA from 1 species
GCUUUAGUGGCGGACUGGUGAGUAACGCGUGAGCAACCUGCCUAUUAGAGGGGAAUAACAGUGAGAAAUCACUGCUAAUACCGCAUAAGCUGAUAACAUCGCAUGAUGAAGUCAGAAAAGGAGCAAUCCGCUAAUAGAUGGGCUCGCGUCUGAUUAGCUAGUUGGUGGGGUAACGGCCUACCAAGGCGACGAUCAGUAGCCGGACUGAGAGGUUGAACGGCCACAUUGGGACUGAGAUACGGCCCAGACUCCUACGGGAGGCAGCAGUCGGGAAUAUUGCGCAAUGGAGGAAACUCUGACGCAGUGACGCCGCGUAUAGGAAGAAGGUUUUCGGAUUGUAAACUAUUGUCGUUAGGGAAGAAAAAAAUGACAGUACCUAAGGAGGAAGCUCCGGCUAACUAUGUGCCAGCAGCCGCGGUAAUACAUAGGGAGCAAGCGUUAUCCGGAUUUAUUGGGUGUAAAGGGUGCGUAGACGGGAAUUUAAGUUAGUUGUGAAAUCCCUCGGCUCAACUGAGGAACUGCAACUAAAACUGAAUUUCUUGAGUAUCGGAGGGGAAAGUGGAAUUCCUAGUGUAGCGGUGAAAUGCGUAGAUAUUAGGAGGAACACCAGUGGCGAAGGCGACUUUCUGGACGAUAACUGACGUUGAGGCACGAAAGUGUGGGGAGCAAACAGGAUUAGAUACCCUGGUAGUCCACACCGUAAACGAUGGAUACUAGGUAUAGGGAGCAAUAAAAUCUCUGUGCCGUCGCAAACGCAAUAAGUAUCCCACCUGGGGAGUACGACCGCAAGGUUGAAACUCAAAGGAAUUGACGGGGGCCCGCACAAGCAGUGGAGUAUGUGGUUUAAUUCGAAGCAACGCGAAGAACCUUACCAGGGCUUGACAUAUACCGGAAUAACUAAGAGAUUAGUUAGACCUUCGGGACUGGUAUACAGGUGGUGCAUGGUUGUCGUCAGCUCGUGUCGUGAGAUGUUAGGUUAAGUCCUGCAACGAGCGCAACCCCUAUUUCUAGUUGCCAGCAUGUAAAGAUGGGAACUCUAGAGAGACUGCCGGUGAUAAAUCGGAGGAAGGUGGGGACGACGUCAAAUCAUCAUGCCCUUUAUGUCCUGGGCUACACACGUACUACAAUGGUGGCCACAAAGAGAAGCGAGCCCGCAAGGGGGAGCGGAUCUCAAAAAAGCCAUCUCAGUUCGGAUUGUGGGCUGCAACCCGCCCACAUGAAGUUGGAGUUGCUAGUAAUCGCGGAUCAGAAUGCCGCGGUGAAUACGUUCCCGGGCCUUGUACACACCGCCCGUCA